GAAGAGAGCUGCUGUAUUGACCUAGACGUAAAUGUUGAAAGAAUUAUUAAUAUCAUAAUCCAUGAAUGGAUGUGAUAUGUCUGAUGAGACAAAUCAUGAAGAGGCGGCGUAUUUUUCGUAAGCAGCCAUUUUUCCAAUAUAAUUUAUUGGCUGCAUAAAAGUCUUCUUGUGUGACUUUAUCCAGAAAAGAGAGAUGGAAUAAUCCUGUCUAUUUAUUUAUAUGAUUUAUAUGGCUGCCUAUCAUAAGCCACUCUGGGUGGUUUACUUGCAACUUUUUAUCUGCACUCGUAGCUCUGAUUGUUAGAAAGUUAAACCAUAAUUUAAUGACAAUUGGAAAUCAUCAUAGACUGCUACAACAACUCUUAUGCUAUUUAUUGGAAGAUGCACACUGGGUGCCUUCAAAGUGGCAACAUUCUGGGAAUUUAUUAAUUGGAAUACUUUCCAAUGGUACGUCUGCACAUUAGUAACAGGAUAAUCAAUGUGUUUUGUAAUUUUGCAAGAGAAAUCCUUUUCCAGUUCUACC